CCUUGGUAGGGAGGGGAGAGUGCCUCUGUCAGCUGAUAGGAUCCCCACUGGGUCCGUUCCUCGGGGCGAUUUACCGGGGACCAACCUACGGGAGCGCGCGGGCAGUAACCCGCCGCGGAAUUCUUGUGUGCUGUAGUCGAGCACGAGAGUGAUGGAGGAGCGUCUAGAGGCUGGGAAGGAGAGCAAGGACCGACUCAUGCUGGUUUGAUGGGGAAGAAGGAAGGACGUUAGGAAUUGAGAAGGGGCUGGAAUACCCUCCUCCUAUCCCAAGCCCUCCUCCAUGUCCCCGGACCUGCAGGGAGACAGCUCCUUACAGGUGGAGAUCUCUGAUGCCGUCAGAGGAGUUCAUCUGGCUACACAAUGUCUACGUGGAAAACGAGGAGUACGCUGGUCUCAUUAUCCCCCCAGCCCCUCCAAGGCCAGACUUUGAGGCUUCAAGGGAGAAACUGCAGAAGUUGGGUGAGGGAGACAGCUCUAUCACGCGGGAAGAGUUUGCCAAAAUGAAGGAGGAACUGGAAGCGGAGUAUCUGGCCAUCUUUAAGAAGACAGUUGCGAUGCAUGAAGUCUUUCUGCAGCGCCUGGCGGCCCACCCCACCCUGCGUCGAGACCACAACUUCUUUGUCUUUUUGGAAUAUGGCCAGGAUCUGAGUGUCCGAGGAAAGAACAGGAAGGAGCUCCUUGGGGGGUUUCUGAGGAAUAUUGUGAAGUCUGCAGAUGAAGCCCUCAUCACUGGCAUGUCAGGGCUCAAGGAGGUGGAUGACUUCUUCGAGCAUGAGAGGACCUUCCUGCUGGAGUACCACACCCGCAUCCGGGACGCCUGCCUUUGGGCAGACCGAGUCAUGCACUCUCACAAGUACCGAGGGGCCCUGACAGACGGCUCUUCCCGUGCAGACCGAGGGGCCCUGACAGACGGCUCUUCCCGUGCAGACCGAGGGGCCCUGACAGACGGCUCUUCCCGUGCAGACCGAGGGGCUCUGACAGACAGCUCUUCCCGUGCAGGCCUGGCAUAUGAUUAUAUCCCCACCUCAGCUGCACUGAGCAGUCUGGGAACACAAGAAGUCAACCAGCUAAAGACGAGCUUCCUCAAAUUGGCAGAGCUCUUUGAACGACUAAGGAAACUGGAGGGCCGAGUGGCUUCUGACGAGGACCUGAAGCUGUCGGACAUGCUGAGGUACUACGUGCGCGACUCACAGGCAGCCAAGGGAUCCUGUGCCCCUGCCGGCCCCAGGACCUGCUGUACCGGCGGCUGCGGGCGCUGGCAGACUAUGAGAACGCCAACAAGGCACUGGACAAGGCGCGCACCAGGAACCGGGAGGUGCGGACCGCCGAGAGCCACCAGCAGCUGUGCUGCCAGCGCUUUGAACGCCUCUCCGACUCAGCCAAGCAGGAGCUCAUGGACUUCAGAUCCCGCCGCGUCUCCUCCUUCCGCAAGAACCUCAUCGAGCUGGCGGAGCUGGAGCUCAAACACGCUAAGGCCAGCACCCUGCUUCUCCGGAACACCCUUGUCACCCUCAAGGGGGAACCUUAGAGCCACCAGAGUGCCCCCCGACCUCCCACCCCAGCAAGAUGCCUCCUUCCCCACCCCAGGAGCCACUCACCAUGCCCCGUGACUUCUCGGGGCAAGGCCUACCCCUACCCCAAGGUGCCAGGCCCUGCAAGAUAAGGCAGCAUGGGCACCACACUUGGCCACAGGAAGGUGGAGCCCGAAACACCUGGGUCUGAAGUCCUGGACUCCACCUGGCUGGCCCCACCCUGGCCCCCAGCCACAUCUGCAGAAGGCCAAAGACUCAACCUGGCUUCGGACUCACAGCAGCCACUGGACCCAGCCCUCAUAAAUGAGUCAGCCAUCCAAGGGAGAGAGCAGAGCAAAGACCAAAUACUGAAGGUGGAGAAAAAGCUCAAGAAGCAACCAGUAACUUGUAGUCUCGGGGCCCACAUCUGGGAAAGACUGCACAGGGGAUCACAGAAUGGGCCUCACUGUCCUACUGCCCACCUGGGUCAAGGCAACAGAAGAAACCAGUUCAGGGAUUAAGCCCCUCUGUUCAAGGAACCCCUGCAGCCAGCAGCAGACACACCCUGGCUCAGCUACCUUCCAGGCUGGUGCCAACUAUGACGCCAGGAUAUAGAGAGGAAACUGUCAGAAAGGAGGCUCAGCUAGUCACUGGCACCAAAUGAGGGUGUGUGGGGCUGGUUGGAGGGAGGGUUAGGGAAGAGAUGCUGCACAUUCUCCCAGCCUACCCGCCCCCAAGGUCCCCCGCGCCCCAACCUCGAAACAAACAUCCCAUUAGUGAGCCUUUUUAUUGU